rnacentral:rRNA from 1 species
ACGGGUGAGUAAAGCCUAGGAAUCUGCCUGGUAGUGGGGGAUAACGUUCGGAAACGGACGCUAAUACCGCAUACGUCCUACGGGAGAAAGCAGGGGACCCUCGGGCCUUGCGCUAUCAGAUGAGCCUAGGUCGGAUUAGCUAGUUGGUGAGGUAAUGGCUCACCAAGGCGACGAUCCGUAACUGGUCUGAGAGGAUGAUCAGUCACACUGGAACUGAGACACGGUCCAGACUCCUACGGGAGGCAGCAGUGGGGAAUAUUGGACAAUGGGCGAAAGCCUGAUCCAGCCAUGCCGCGUGUGUGAAGAAGGUCUUCGGAUUGUAAAGCACUUUAAGUUGGGAGGAAGGGCAUUAACCUAAUACGUUAGUGUUUUGACGUUACCGACAGAAUAAGCACCGGCUAACUCUGUGCCAGCAGCCGCGGUAAUACAGAGGGUGCAAGCGUUAAUCGGAAUUACUGGGCGUAAAGCGCGCGUAGGUGGUUUGUUAAGUUGGAUGUGAAAUCCCCGGGCUCAACCUGGGAACUGCAUUCAAAACUGACUGACUAGAGUAUGGUAGAGGGUGGUGGAAUUUCCUGUGUAGCG